rnacentral:rRNA from 1 species
GAUGAACGCUAGCGGCAGGCUUAAUACAUGCAAGUCGAGGGGCAGCAUGAAUGUAGCAAUACAUUUGAUGGCGACCGGCAAACGGGUGCGGAACACGUACACAACCUUCCUAUAAGUGGGGAAUAGCCCAGAGAAAUUUGGAUUAAUACCCCGUAACAUAAUGAUGUGGCAUCGCAUUAUUAUUAUAGCUACGGCGCUUAUUGAUGGGUGUGCGGCUGAUUAGAUAGUUGGCGGGGUAACGGCCCACGAAGUCUACGAUCAGUAGCUGAUGUGAGAGCAUGAUCAGCCACACGGGCACUGGGACACGGGCCCGACUCCUACGGGAGGCAGCAGUAAGGAAUAUUGGUCAAUGGACGCAAGUCUGAACCAGCCAUGCCGCGUGAAGGAUUAAGGUCCUCUGGAUUGUAAGCUUCUUUUAUCUGGGACGAAAAAAGGCUAUUCUUAGUCACUUGACGGUACCAGAUGAAUAAGCACCGGCUAACUCCGUGCCAGCAGCCGCCGUAAGAC